rnacentral:rRNA from 1 species
CGAUACGAGUUUGAUCAUGGCUCAGGAUGAACGCUAGCGGCAGGCUUAAUACAUGCAAGUCAAGGGGGUAGCAAUACAACCGGCGCACGGGUGAGUAACGCGUACACAACAUGCCAUAUACUGGGGUAUAGCUUUGGGAAACUGAAGGUAAUCCCCCAUAGUAUUGUGGGUAGGCAUCUAUCUGCAAUUAAAGUUUCGACGGUAUAUGAUUGGUGUGCGUUCCAUUAGCUAGUUGGUAGGGUAACGGCCUACCAAGGCGACGAUGGGUAGCUGGCGUGAGAGCGCGACCAGCCACACUGGAACUGAGACACGGUCCAGACUCCUACGGGAGGCAGCAGUAGGGAAUAUUGGACAAUGGGCGAAAGCCUGAUCCAGCCAUGCCGCGUGAUAGAUGAAGGCCCUCUGGGUUGUAAAUAUCUUUUAUCUGGGAAGAAACUCCUCUAUUCUUAGAGGCCUGACGGUACCAGAGGAAUAAGCACCGGCUAACUCCGUG